AAACCAGCACCUCAAGUGGUCAGGAUGAUUAUUGGGCCUAAAGCAUCCGUAGCCGGCUCUGUAAGUUUUCGGUUAAAUCUGUACGCUUAACGUACAGGCUGCCGGGAAUACUGCAGAGCUAGGGAGUGGGAGAGGUAGACGGUACUCGGGAGGAAGUGGUAAAAUGCUUUGAUCUCUCGAUGACCACCUGUGGCGAAGGCGGUCUACCAGAACACGUUCGACGGUGAGGGAUGAAAGCUGGGGGAGCAAACCGGAUUAGAUACCCGAGUAGUCC
rnacentral:rRNA from 1 species